rnacentral:rRNA from 1 species
UCUACGGGGUGCUGCAGUGGGGAAUAUUGGACAAUGGGCGAAAGCCUGAUCCAGCCAUGCCGCGUGUGUGAAGAAGGCCUUCGGGUUGUAAAGCACUUUCAGUGGGGAAGAAAGCCUUGGGGCUAAUACCCUCGAGGAAGGACAUCACCCACAGAAGAAGCACCGGCUAACUCCGUGCCAGCAGCCGCGGUAAUACGGAGGGUGCGAGCGUUAAUCGGAAUUACUGGGCGUAAAGCGCGCGUAGGCGGUCUGAUAAGCCGGUUGUGAAAGCCCCGGGCUCAACCUGGGAACGGCAUCCGGAACUGUCAGGCUAGAGUGCAGGAGAGGAAGGUAGAAUUCCCGGUGUAGCGGUGAAAUGCGUAGAGAUCGGGAGGAAUACCAGUGGCGAAGGCGGCCUUCUGGACUGACACUGACGCUGAGGUGCGAAAGCGUGGGUAGCAAACAGGAUUAGAUACCCUAGUAGUC